GAUGAACGCUGGCGGCGUGCCUAAUACAUGCAAGUCGAGCGAACGGACGAGAAGCUUGCUUCUCUGAUGUUAGCGGCGGACGGGUGAGUAACACGUGGAUAACCUACCUAUAAGACUGGGAUAACUUCGGGAAACCGUAGCUAAUACCGGAUAAUAUUUUGAACCGCAUGGUUCAAAAGUGAAAGACGGUCUUGCUGUCACUUAUAGAUGGAUCCGCGCUGCAUUAGCUAGUUGGUAAGGUAACGGCUUACCAAGGCAACGAUGCAUAGCCGACCUGAGAGGGUGAUCGGCCACACUGGAACUGAGACACGGUCCAGACUCCUACGGGAGGCAGCAGUAGGGAAUCUUCCGCAAUGGGCGAAAGCCUGACGGAGCAACGCCGCGUGAGUGAUGAAGGUCUUCGGAUCGUAAAACUCUGUUAUUAGGGAAGAACAUAUGUGUAAGUAACUGUGCACAUCUUGACGGUACCUAAUCAGAAAGCCACGGCUAACUACGUGCCAGCAGCCGCGGUAAUACGUAGGUGGCAAGCGUUAUCCGGAAUUAUUGGGCGUAAAGCGCGCGUAGGCGGUUUUUUAAGUCUGAUGUGAAAGCCCACGGCUCAACCGUGGAGGGUCAUUGGAAAACUGGAAAACUUGAGUGCAGAAGAGGAAAGUGGAAUUCCAUGUGUAGCGGUGAAAUGCGCAGAGAUAUGGAGGAACACCAGUGGCGAAGGCGACUUUCUGGUCUGUAACUGACGCUGAUGUGCGAAAAGCGUGGGGGAUCAAAACAGG
rnacentral:rRNA from 1 species